GACGAACGCUGGCGGCGUGCUUAACACAUGCAAGUCGAACGAAGAGCGAUGGAAGCUUGCUUCUAUCAAUCUUAGUGGCGAACGGGUGAGUAACGCGUAAUCAACCUGCCCUUCAGAGGGGGACAACAGUUGGAAACGAAUGCUAAUACCGCAUACGAUCUAAUCUCGGCAUCGAGGAUAGAUGAAAGGUGGCCUCUACAUGUAAGCUAUCACUGAAGGAGGGGAUUGCGUCUGAUUAGCUAGUUGGAGGGGUAACGGCCCACCAAGGCGAUGAUCAGUAGCCGGUCUGAGAGGAUGAACGGCCACAUUGGGACUGAGACACGGCCCAGACUCCUACGGGAGGCAGCAGUGGGGAAUCUUCCGAAAUGGACGAAAGUCUGACGGAGCAACGCCGCGUGAGUGAUGACGGCCUUCGGGUUGUAAAGCUCUGUUAAUCGGGACGAAAGGCCUUCUUGCGAAUAGUGAGAAGGAUUGACGGUACCGGAAUAGAAAGCCACGGCUAACUACGUG
rnacentral:rRNA from 1 species